rnacentral:rRNA from 1 species
UACGUAGGGGGCAAGCGUUGUCCGGAUUUAUUGGGCGUAAAGCGCUCGCAGGCGGUUCGUUGCGUCGUGCGUGAAAGACCCCGGCUCAACUGGGGAGGGUCGUGCGAUACGGGCGGACUGGAGGCCAGUAGGGGGAUGCGGAAUUCCGGGUGUAGUGGUGGAAUGCGUAGAGAUCCGGAGGAACACCAGCGGCGAAGGCGGCAUCCUGGACUGGUCCUGACACUCAGGAGCGAAAGCGUGGGGAGCGAUCCGG